AGGAUUCUGGAGAAUCUAGAAUACCUAUAGACAUAUUUUAGGGAUCUGAGAGUCUUUUAAGGGAGGAAUAGAUCCCCCAUCUCAAACCACCUAGGAUAUCUACUUUACAACUUACAAGGCCCAGUUUAGAAACAGUGACAGAAAGCUUCUUACUCUUUGAAGAAUCAACAUCAGAUAGUGAGUUUUACUCUUAAAAGAGCACUUCCUAUAGACCUGAAGAUACCUCAGCCUUUCUCUGUAUUCCUUUAGAGAAGAGAGUAAUAUUCUUUUUAUAAGCCAAAUCAAAAAUUCCUCAAUCCUCUUGUUGAAAAUAUUUUAUGUAGAGUACACAUAUUCUUGGGGACAGCAGGGUUUGGCUUAAACUCUGCUCCUCUAUUGAGUAUCUGCAAGUGGUAUCUUGCAUAUUCUCCACAUUAGCUAUAAAUAUAAUGGCUAUUUGGAGAGAUCAUUUUAGGAAAGAGUAUUUUCUGCACCAUAUUUCAUCCAACAAAUGUCUUUUUUAAAGAAUUCAAAAGACGUCAUGUUCAAGAAUUGACUCAGUAGAUUCUUUUCCAGUGGGCUAUUAUAACCUAGAAAAUCCCUAGUUUGAAACUUUCUAGCAGCCAUAGGUUGAUUCACGCUGAGAACUGUAACUUAAUCAAACAUGUAGGUUAGAAUAGAAUAAUAAAAGAAAUAAAAGUGGGUUUUCAGAAACUGGAGGGUCAAAUUGAGGUUAGAAGGUG
rnacentral:lncRNA from 1 species